GUUCCCAUUCUUCUUAAGAAUAUACUGUCGAGCAAAUCCAAACCAAGCUUCGACUCGCCAAUCUUCGCCGCCAGGAACACUAUGAAAAGUUGUCAAACAAGGCCCGGACAAAGCCCAGAAGCCCCUCUCGAUCUUCUUCUCAAGAGGAAGACCUUGGCGAGCGACUGGAUGCCAAGCUCCAGG